AAAGAAUUAGUUAAAUAAUAACAUUAACUUGUCAAAUUAAAAUUAUCUAUAGAUAUUCUUUU
rnacentral:tRNA from 1 species